rnacentral:rRNA from 1 species
UACGUAGGGUGCAAGCGUUAAUCGGAAUUACUGGGCGUAAAGCGUGCGCAGGCGGUUUUGUAAGUCUGUCGUGAAAUCCCCGGGCUCAACCUGGGAAUUGCGAUGGAGACUGCAAGGCUAGAAUCUGGCAGAGGGGGGUAGAAUUCCACGUGUAGCAGCGAAAUGCGUAGAGAUGUGGAGGAACACCGAUGGCGAAGGCAGCCCCCUGGGUCAAGAUUGACGCUCAUGCACGAAAGCGUGGGGAGCAAACAGG